CGUUGAAACACCAGUUCGUGUACGAUCACCGAAGUUAAGCAUCGUCGAACCUGGUCAGUACCUAGAUGGGUGACGGUUGGGGAAUAUUAAC